rnacentral:rRNA from 1 species
CACACCCGUUCCCAUACCGAACACGGAAGUUAAGCUCUCUAGCGCCGAUGGUAGUUGGGACUUUGUCCCUGUGAGAGUAGGACGUCGCCAAGC